UGGGUGGCGAGUGGCGGACGGGUGAGGAAUACAUCGGAAUCUACUUUUUCGUGGGGGAUAACGUAGGGAAACUUACGCUAAUACCGCAUACGACCUACGGGUGAAAGCAGGGGAUCUUCGGACCUUGCGCGAUUGAAUGAGCCGAUGUCGGAUUAGCUAGUUGGCGGGGUAAAGGCCCACCAAGGCGACGAUCCGUAGCUGGUCUGAGAGGAUGAUCAGCCACACUGGAACUGAGACACGGUCCAGACUCCUACGGGAGGCAGCAGUGGGGAAUAUUGGACAAUGGGCGCAAGCCUGAUCCAGCCAUACCGCGUGGGUGAAGAAGGCCUUCGGGUUGUAAAGCCCUUUUGUUGGGAAAGAAAUCCAGCCGGUUAAUACCUGGUUGGGAUGACGGUACCCAAAGAAUAAGCACCGGCUAACUUCGUGCCAGCAGCCGCGGUAAUACGAAGGGUGCAAGCGUUACUCGGAAUUACUGGGCGUAAAGCGUGCGUAGGUGGUUGUUUAAGUCUGUUGUGAAAGCCCUGGGCUCAACCUGGGAACUGCAGUGGAAACUGGACAACUAGAGUGUGGUAGAGGGUAGCGGAAUUCCCGGUGUAGCAGUGAAAUGCGUAGAGAUCGGGAGGAACAUCCAUGGC
rnacentral:rRNA from 1 species